rnacentral:rRNA from 1 species
AACGAACGCUGGCGGCAGGCUUAACACAUGCAAGUCGAACGGUUGUAGCAAUACAGCAGUGGCAGACGGGUGAGUAACACGUGGGAACCUUCCUAGGGGUACGGAACAACUCAGGGAAACUUGAGCUAAUACCGUAUACGUCCGUGAGGAGAAAGAUUUAUCGCCCUUAGACGGGCCCGCGUCGGAUUAGGUAGUUGGUGGGGUAACGGCCUACCAAGCCUACGAUCCGUAGCUGAUCUUAGAGGAUGAUCAGCCACACUGGGACUGAGACACGGCCCAGACUCCUACGGGAGGCAGCAGUGGGGAAUCUUGGACAAUGGGCGCAAGCCCGAUCCAGCCAUGCCGCGUGAGUGAAGAAGGUCUUCGGAUUGUAAAGCUCUUUUACCAGGGACGAUAAUGACGGUACCUGGAGAAUAAGCCCCGGCAAACUUCAUGCCAGCCGCCGCGGUAACAC